rnacentral:rRNA from 1 species
GACGAACGCUGGCGGCGUGCUUAACACAUGCAAGUCGAACGGAAAGGCCCUGCUUUUGUGGGGUGCUCGAGUGGCGAACGGGUGAGUAACACGUGAGUAACCUGCCCUUGACUUUGGGAUAACUUCAGGAAACUGGGGCUAAUACCGGAUAGGAGCUCCUGCUGCAUGGUGGGGGUUGGAAAGUUUCGGCGGUUGGGGAUGGACUCGCGGCUUAUCAGCUUGUUGGUGGGGUAGUGGCUUACCAAGGCUUUGACGGGUAGCCGGCCUGAGAGGGUGACCGGCCACAUUGGGACUGAGAUACGGCCCAGACUCCUACGGGAGGCAGCAGUGGGGAAUAUUGCACAAUGGGCGGAAGCCUGAUGCAGCAACGCCGCGUGCGGGAUGACGGCCUUCGGGUUGUAAACCGCUUUCGCCUGUGACGAAGCGUGAGUGACGGUAAUGGGUAAAGAAGCACCGGCUAACUACGUGCCAGCAGCCGCGGUGAUACGUAGGGUGCGAGCGUUGUCCGGAUUUAUUGGGCGUAAAGGGCUCGUAGGUGGUUGAUCGCGUCGGAAGUGUAAUCUUGGGGCUUAACCCUGAGCGUGCUUUCGAUACGGGUUGACUUGAGGAAGGUAGGGGAGAAUGGAAUUCCUGGUGGAGCGGUGGAAUGCGCAGAUAUCAGGAGGAACACCAGUGGCGAAGGCGGUUCUCUGGGCCUUUCCUGACGCUGAGGAGCGAAAGCGUGGGGAGCGAACAGGCUUAGAUACCCUGGUAGUCCACGCUGUAAACGGUGGGUACUAGGUGUGGGGUCCAUUCCACGGGUUCCGUGCCGUAGCUAACGCUUUAAGUACCCCGCCUGGGGAGUACGGCCGCAAGGCUAAAACUCAAAGGAAUUGACGGGGCCCCGCACAAGCGGCGGAGCAUGCGGAUUAAUUCGAUGCAACGCGUAGAACCUUACCUGGGUUUGACAUGGAUCGGGAGUGCUCAGAGAUGGGUGUGCCUCUUUUGGGGUCGGUUCACAGGUGGUGCAUGGCUGUCGUCAGCUCGUGUCGUGAGAUGUUGGGUUAAGUCCCGCAACGAGCGCAACCCUUGUUCACUGUUGCCAGCACGUUAUGGUGGGGACUCAGUGGAGACCGCCGGGGUCAACUCGGAGGAAGGUGGGGAUGACGUCAAGUCAUCAUGCCCCUUAUGUCCAGGGCUUCACGCAUGCUACAAUGGCUGGUACAGAGAGUGGCGAGCCUGUGAGGGUGAGCGAAUCUCGGAAAGCCGGUCUCAGUUCGGAUUGGGGUCUGCAACUCGACCUCAUGAAGUCGGAGUCGCUAGUAAUCGCAGAUCAGCAACGCUGCGGUGAAUACGUUCCCGGGGCUUGUACACACCGCCCGUCAAGUCAUGAAAGUUGGUAACACCCGAAGCCGGUGGCCUAACCGUUGUGGGGGAGCCGCCGAAGGUGGGACUGGUGAUUAGGACU